GGUCCGUAGGCGGUCUUGUAAGUCAGUGGUGAAAGCCCAUCGCUCAACGGUGGAACGGCCAUUGAUACUGCUGGACUUGAAUUAUUAAGAAGUAACUAGAAUAUGUAGUGUAGCGGUGAAAUGCUUAGAGAUUACAUGGAAUACCAAUUGCGAAGGCAGGUUACUACUAAUUGAUUGACGCUGAUGGACGAAAGCGUGGGUAGCGAACAGGAUUAGAUACCCUGGUAGUCCACGCCGUAAACGAUGGAUACUAGCUGUUGGGAGCAAUUUCAGUGGCUAAGCGAAAGUGAUAAGUAUCCCACCUGGGGAGUACGUUCGCAAGAAUGAAACUCAAAGGAAUUGACGGGGGCCCGCACAAGCGGUGGAGCAUGUGGUUUAAUUCGAUGAUACGCGAGGAACCUUACCAAGGCUUAAAUGUAGAUUGACCGGUUUGGAAACAGACUUUUCGCAAGACAAUUUACAAGGUGCUGCAUGGUUGUCGUCAGCUCGUGCCGUGAGGUGUCAGGUUAAGUCCUAUAACGAGCGCAACCCCUGUUGUUAGUUGCCAGCGAGUAGUGUCGGGAACUCUAACAAGACUGCCAGUGCAAACUGUGAGGAAGGUGGGGAUGACGUCAAAUCAUCACGGCCCUUACGCCUUGGGCUACACACGUGCUACAAUGGCCGGUACAGAGAGCAGCCACUGGGUGACCAGGAGCGAAUCUAUA
rnacentral:rRNA from 1 species